rnacentral:rRNA from 1 species
AUUGAACGCUGGCGGCAGGCUUACCACAUGCAAGUCGAGCGAGCGGCGGACGGGUGAGUAAUGUCUGGGACACUGCCUGAUGGAGGGGGAUAACUACUGGAAACGGUAGCUAAUACCGCAUCCCAUCAGAUGUGCCCAGAUUGGAUUAGCUAGUAGGUGGGGUAAUGGCUCACCUAGGCGACGAUCCCUAGCUGGUCUGAGAGUAUGACCAGCCCACCUGGAACUUGGACCCGGUCCAGACUCCUACGGGAGGCAGCAGUGGGGAAUAUUGCACAAUGGGGGCCAGCCUGAGUCAGCCAUGCCGCGUGUGUGAAGAAGGCCUUCGGGUUGUAAAGCUCGUUAAUCGGGACGACGUUACCGGAAUAGGAAGCAACGGCUAACUACGUGCCAGCAGCCGCGGUAAUUC